rnacentral:sRNA from 1 species
AUGUGAACGACAGUCCAGCGCGCAAACCGCACGACUAGGCAGCCAUCCAUUGAUGGAUACACCAUAACAUGUAACAUAUAAAAAUGGCAGCACAAAGGUACCAAGGCUCUUUAGAGAAGAAGGGUAAGUAAAUAUGGCAAAAAAUAGACAGGCCCAGAUGAGGACUCAAACCAAUUUUAUAUCCUGCAUUAUCAGUCAUUGUAAAGAAGUUGAUGAAUGCUUUACUGUCUUCUUAUUUGGUACAACAUAGAUUCAUUGCUGUAAUGAUCCUCAUCACAAACAAAAGAAACCAACUAGAAAUUCGUGCUCAUUGAGAUUUAUGGUUUCUACUCAAAAACAUUGACACGGACAUGAAUACAAUCAACCUCAUCCAAGUCAAUAAUUAAAUUUUUUAAAAAUAAUAAUCGCACUAAACACUCCUUCAACAAUUUUUUUUAUUAUCUAUAACUGAUAACUUGUAGCUUAUAUACUAUGUAUUUAUGUAGCUAAAACAUAUUCACUUAGGGGUACAUAGGCAAGUUCGACUAUCUAAAGGGGUCUCCAUGUCAAAAAAAUUGAGAACCACUGACUUAGUACCAUGAGGAUGCCAAAAAAAAAUAGGCUUUUAACACUCUAGAACAGAAUAGCUGAGGCUUAGUAAGCUCAAUGGUACCAACAGUUGCCUAGCCAGACACUGGAAGAAAACCAAGCAAAAACCCAUAGACCAAGGCAUUUAACCCUUUAAACGCGUACGCGUGUGGUAGUUGUAAUUCCAUUUUGUAUGCACUCACUGUAAAACAGCUCAGCACUUUAAGGGUUAAAAGUGAAAAAUGGAACUGGACAGGAUGCACACUGUGAUAACUAACUAACUAUGUGGCUAAGCACUUAUUGGAUUCUGCAGGCCUAAACAAAUCUGGAAGAGGUCAGUCAUCAGCAAUGCUGGGGAUACUGGAAUGACAUGGAAGCAGAUGAAGGUUAAGCUGCUCAGAACUGAGUUCGGUGGAGAGUUGUGGAAAUACACAGGAAUAAAUGUUCCUCCAUAAUUGAAGAGUAUUACAUUCAAUCCCAAAUGUUCCAUAGUUUGAAAUUUGCAGCAAAAUGUUUAUAAAAAUUUUUGUGAAUUUUUAAUUAAAGUCAGAACGUCUCAUGCCAAAAUGGCCAACCCAAACAGCUGGGCCCAAAAGUCAAAAGCCCAUUUAAAUGACAGUCAAACCAAGGUGAUUAUUAUGACAGUCUGGAUUUCAAACUUUAAGAACAUACAUGAAUGUAAUUAAUAAGUUAAGAUGCAAUGUUUUUGACACAGUAAAUGAUUCUGCAUCACAAUG